UCUGACUUCUGACUCUGCAUUCGGAGCACACGCUCAGGGGAGCCGUUUGGCCAGAUAAUAGACUAGCAGUGAUCGGGAUGCUUGAGGAACUUUGUCUUACCUCUGCUUAACCGGCAGCGGCUGCUGUCAGCGGGCGCGGACCGCGCUGGCGGGCUGCGCCGUCACCGAUAUCUUCCAUGCCCUCACACGUGAGGACACGGGAUUUCCCCCUCUCUUACAGUGCGCAUAAUUGGUGUUCUAACAGUGGCUUGGGGUUUUUAUAGUUUGUGGGUUUUUUUCCCCAGUAACGUCAGUGAUGCCAGUGUCCGUGGUGCAGCUGGCGAGCCUUGUACUGAUGUCACAAGAAAUAAGAAAUAACGUAAUAAAAAAGACGCCAGUAUUUGAGACGCUUUUGCGGCGUGUAUGGGAGAACUGUAUAAAGAAAAGUUCUGCCGGUUUUAACAGAUACAGUGUACAAGUGCUGCUGCCGUUAAUUGAGAAGAAAAGGGAUACAGCCAAUUAGCAGUUUAUCAGAUGGAGUUACACUGAUGGAAGGUUCUCUGACCUGGUGAAGCCUACCUGUACCUUACCAAUUGCAGAAAGCAUUAUAAACUAGUAAGCAGUCAUUCCAUGAUGCCUCGCCGUAACUUCUGGAUUGCUUGACUAAAUCGAAGAUGAAUUUUGCCUUCCCCAGUGGCAGCGUCAUGAGCAGAUUGAGCUUCUUUCUCCAAUCUAUGCUUCAUAAGUCUUGUAGUUUUUUUGGAACAACAUCCCAAACAACACAAGCUGAAGAAAACUCUGGUAAACAGGAAGCAUUGGUUGUGAAAAGGAACUAAGGAAGGAUGGAAGGAUGUGAAAGAGAAGAAAGCCAGCCAAGCCUCUAAAAAUGGAAACAAAGGACUGAAUGUUUCCAAAAAACUAUUUGAUUUUAUAUGUAUGUAAUGGUGAUAAAGUAGUUGAUAGUGUACUGCUUGGACAUUGAGUAUCUGAAGAACGUACACUUUGUAAGGGAUGUAUUCCAGGACAAACCCAUAUCCCAUCCCCUUUUUAAGAAAAUGUUGUGUGACUUCAGGACAUUUGUCAAGUACAGCAAUAAAAUAAAUACAGUCAACUGGAAA